CGUCUCAGUUCGGAUUGUAGUCUGCAACUCGACUACACGAAGCCGGAAUCGCUAGUAAUCGCGAAUCAGAAUGUCGCGGUGAAUACGUUCCCGGGUCUUGUACACACCGCCCGUCACACCAUGGGAGUCGGAAAUGCCCGAAGUCAGUGACCCAACCGUAAGGAGGGAGCUGCCGAAGGUGGAGCCGGUAACUGGGGUGAAGUCGUAACAAGGUACC
rnacentral:rRNA from 1 species